ACGGGAGGCAGCAGUGGGGGAUAUUGCACAAUGGGGGGAACCCUGAUGCAGCGACGCCGCGUGAGCGAAGAAGUGCUUCGGCAUGUAAAGCUCUAUCAGCAGGGAAGAAAAUGACGGUACCUGACUAAGAAGCCCCGGCUAACUACGUGCCAGCAGCCGCGGUAAUACGUAGGGGGCAAGCGUUAUCCGGAUUUACUGGGUGUAAAGGGAGCGCAGGCGGUUCUGCAAGCCAGAGGUGAAAACCCGGGGCUCAACCCCGUGAUUGCCUUUGGAACUGUAGGACUUGAGUACUGGAGGGGCAGGCGGAAUUCCUGGUGUAGCGGUGAAAUGCGUAGAUAUCAGGAGGAACACCGGUGGCGAAGGCGGCCUGCUGGACAGAAACUGACGCUGAGGCUCGAAAGCGUGGGGAGCAAACAGGAUUAGAUACCCUGGUA
rnacentral:rRNA from 1 species